rnacentral:rRNA from 1 species
GACGAACGCUGGCGGCGUGCUUAACACAUGCAAGUCGAACGGAAAGGCCCUGCUUUUGUGGGGUGCUCGAGUGGCGAACGGGUGAGUAACACGUGAGUAACCUGCCCUUGACUUUGGGAUAACUUCAGGAAACUGGGGCUAAUACCGGAUAGGAGCUCCUGCUGCAUGGUGGGGGUUGGAAAGUUUCGGCGGUUGGGGAUGGACUCGCGGCUUAUCAGCUUGCUGGUGGGGUAGUGGCUUACCAAGGCUUUGACGGGUAGCCGGCCUGAGAGGGUGACCGGCCACAUUGGGACUGAGAUACGGCCCAGACUCCUACGGGAGGCAGCAGUGGGGAAUAUUGCACAAUGGGCGGAAGCCUGAUGCAGCAACGCCGCGUGCGGGAUGACGGCCGUCGGGUUGUAACCCGCUUUCGCCUGCGACGAAGCGUGAGUGACGGUAAUGGGUAAAGAAGCACCGGCUAACUACGUG